rnacentral:rRNA from 1 species
GACGUAGGGCGCGAGCGUUGUCCGGAUUUAUUGGGCGUAAAGAGCUCGUAGGCGGCUUGUCGCGUCGUCCGUGAAAACCUGCAGCUCAACUGCAGGCUUGCGGUCGAUACGGGCAGGCUAGAGUUCGGUAGGGGAGACUGGAAUUCCUGGUGUAGCGGUGAAAUGCGCAGAUAUCAGGAGGAACACCGGUGGCGAAGGCGGGUCUCUGGGGCCGAUACUGACGCUGAGGAGCGAAAAGCGUGGGGAGCGAACAGG